rnacentral:rRNA from 1 species
GACGGAAGGUGCAAGCGUUGCUCGGAAUCACUGGGCGUAAAGGGUGCGUAGGCGGCCGUGCAAGUCUGGCGUGAAAGCCCCGGGCUCAGCCCGGGAAGUGCGCUCGAAACUGCGCGGCUCGAGUGCCGGAGGGGAGAGUGGAAUUCCUGGUGUAGCGGUGAAAUGCGUAGAUAUCAGGAAGAACACCCGUGGCUAAGGCGGCUCUCUAGUACGGUACUGACGCUGAGACGCGAAAGCGUGGGGAGCGAACAGG